AGCAGCCGCGGUAAUUCCAGCUCCAAUAGCGUAUAUUAAAGUUGUUGCAGUUAAAAAGCUCGUAGUUGAAUUUCGGGAUUGACUCGAUGGUCGUGCCUUAAGGGGUAUGAACUGUCGUUGUUGAUUUCUCACCUUCUGGAGAAGCUCGAUGUCCUUAAUUGGAUGUCUUGUGGAACCAGGACCUUUACCUUGAAAAAAUUAGAGUGUUUAAAGCAGGCAUUUUGCUCGAAUACAUUAGCAUGGAAUAAUAGAAUAGGACGGCAUGGUUCUAUUUUGUU
rnacentral:rRNA from 1 species